GCUAACGGCGACGUCCAUGCUGUGGUAGCUAGCUAUUCCUCAUUUUCCUGCGGAUCAGGCGAGACGUGUCGUACUUAAUAAUAUAAAUCGCGCGUGUUUAAAUAGAUUGACAGUAAAUAAGUGUAUAAACAUGGGCUUGGUUGUUAAUAAUUUACCAAAGAUUCGCGAAGAAUGCGAAGUUCUGCAUUUGACAGACAAGCAGAUCAAGGAGAUCAUGAGCAGACUCCACAAUGACUUGGUCAAAGGACUUGGCAAGGAUACACAUGCCAAUUCCAUUGUUAAGUGCUGGAUCACUUACAUUCAAGAUUUACCCAAUGGAAAAGAACGCGGUAAAUUCCUUGCAUUGGAUCUAGGAGGAACUAAUUUCAGAGUUUUAAUUAUUAAUUUAGGCGCAAACCACUUUGAUAUGCAAUCCAAAAUUUAUGCUAUUCCAAAUCAUAUAAUGACUGGAACAGGCAUUGCAUUAUUUGACCACAUAGCUGAAUGCCUUGCGAAUUUCAUGAAGGAACAUGAUGUUUACGCAGAGAGACUGGCACUUGGUUUCACGUUUAGCUUUCCUCUACAACAACUGGGGCUCACAAAAGGAAUACUGCAGCGGUGGACCAAAGGAUUCUCUUGUUCUGGAGUUGUCGGAGAAGACGUUGUUCAGGGUCUUAAAGACGCCAUUGCCAGACGAGGGGACGUACAGAUUGACAUAUGUGCCAUUCUGAAUGAUACUACGGGUACAUUGAUGUCAUGCGCAUGGAAAAACCACAACUGCAAAAUAGGACUUAUCGUUGGCACUGGCAGCAAUGCUUGUUACGUAGAGAAGACAGAGAACUGUGAACUCUUUGAUGGAGAGCCCGGUAAACCUGAUCUGCUUAUCAACACUGAGUGGGGCGCGUUCGGAGAUGACGGAGCACUGGACUUCGUUCGCACAGAGUUCGACCGCGAAGUCGACAAUAACUCCAUCAACAAAGGAAAACAAAUACAAGAAAAAAUGAUUUCGGGCAUGUACAUGGGAGAAUUAGUGCGUUUAGCAUUAGUGAAGUUCACAAAGAUGGGCUUGCUGUUUGGAGGUCGCGGUUCAGAUCUGCUGUUCCAGAGAGGCAGCUUCUACACCAAAUACGUAUCAGAAAUUGAGUCGGAUAAGCCUGGAGACUUCACGAGUUGCAUGGAGGUGUUGGAAGAACUCGGAUUGUCGCACGCGAGUGAAGCGGACAUGGCUGCGGUUCGCCACGUCUGCGAGUGCGUGUCGCGGCGCGCGGCGCACUUGGUGUCCGCCGGGAUCGCGUGUCUCCUCAACAAAAUGAACGAGCCCCGCGUCACCGUCGGCAUCGACGGCUCCGUCUACCGCUUCCACCCACAUUUCCACACGCUCAUGUGCGAAAAGAUCGCGCAACUCGUCAGGCCGGGCAUACAGUUCGACCUGAUGUUGUCGGAGGACGGCAGCGGGCGCGGUGCUGCGCUGGUGGCGGCCGUGGCGUGCCGUCAGAGCAGUACUGUCGCGUAACUUGGCCUCAUCUCUCCCGCGGUAACACUAAUCUGAGCCUUCGCAUGUAAGCCGCCUAAGCAAUCAAACGAUACCGCACUCAAUAUUUCCUAAUAACAUAGUAGCAAUAUAUUUUUAAAAUUGUUUACACAUAGCUACCUAUCGAUGAUUGUAUGGGUAUUGUUUAAUAUUGUAAUGACACUUUAUCACAGUAAGUGUUAAAUAAUUUAAAAUAGAAAAAUCUUUAUGUGCUGGUUCCUUUAUCAUUAUGCAACUUAGUGAUUGCAAUUAUUAAUCUAAUCCGAUAGCAGUUGAUUUUUAUCUAAUAAGCGACAGCUCGCUUUGAUACAGCCACAACGUCGGUAAGGAAGAAUAAUCGUAAUCACUAAAUUAUAUUACAUUCGGCACUAGUCCAAAUAUACAUAUUACCUAGAUACAUAAAAGAUAAAUGAAUAGCAAAUCUAAGAGCAAGCUGGCGGUUACUUAGCACAUUUGAAUUAUAUUUGUUUAAGUAGUACUUAUUUAUAUACUAUAGAAUGUCGCUGUGUGCUACACUGUAGGUGACGGCUUUCAUGUAUACGCUCUUCUCUGAAAUUUUCGUAAUUUUGUGGCAUAAUCAGACACUAAGAUCCAAUAUCCAACGUGAACUUAAAUUUACUUAAUUGCGGUUUGUUUGUACUUAUAAUGACUUAAAUCUAGUCAAGGUAAAAGGAGUCGAGACCUUUUCAUUAAAUUAUAAAGUCGACAGCUAUGGACACUCGUAAAUUAUAAUGUGUUAUUAUCGGUGUAUAUAACUGGUAUAUCGUUAUGCUGUUUAACACAUGUUGUAAACAAUAAGACUGAUUUAUGAUGAAAUCAUUAUUAUCGACGUAAUAAGUCUACAAAUUUAAAUUUUCUGAUCUUAGUGUUUGGGGUUUACCGCGACGACAAGCAUUUCCUUGCCAGCACACAGUAACAGGCUCAGAAUUCUCUUCAGUGACUUGUGUUAUAUUAGCAAUAAGUAGUUAUAUAUGUAGUACUGUAUAUUUUAUCGGAGAGAAAGCUCUUAUAUCGUUAAGUAGAUAUGUAAUUUUAUAUACUAAUAACAACUGUUGAAAAUAAAUUAGAACGAUGAUAUUAUAAAUUACUCUAUAAAGGAACACUUAAUGCGAAAAACUUCUUCAGAUGUAUUGUUUAUUCCUAAAAAUAUUUUUACAGUGACCACGUCGACUGAUGUAUUUUAGAUAACUGAUGUACAUAAAUAUUUGGUUUUAAUAAGUACUGCGUACCUACAUAAAAGGAUACCUCCCCUUAAGAAUAGCUCUUAUAUCCGUUUUGAGAUCGGCAAUGUUAUACUUUUUAAUUUUCAUCCCGAAGCUGCGAAGUCGGGCGAAUAGAACUUGCGCUUCGGUGCGAAUCUCAUAGUGAUUGCUACAUGCCAAGUACAAUAAACGUAGAGUACCUACCAUCAUUCCACCGAGGAGUUAGUCAUCCAUGAGACAAUAUUAAAUUAUUUUUUGUGGAUAAUAAAAAACAAGAAAUUAAAUAUUAUGUUAAUGAUAAUUUUUAAACAUUUAAACGUAGAACUCUUAUUUGAAUGUGAAUUGAAUCAAUAAAAUAAAAGGAGUAAUUUAAGUGUUUUGAUAUUUUACUGUGAUAGAACUAGGACUAGUUCAAGUUUUUGUUUUGUUUCUGGAAACAUUUUAUCAACGAAAUUAAUUGCAGUUUGCCCACAUUGUUUAGAUAAUAUCUCAUUUGGUUUAUUCAAAUAAUAUCAUCCACGCAAAAAGGCCAUAUGUAAAACCGUGUUAUUGAAAGUGAUUCAUAAAUUAUAAUCGGGUUAAAUUUUCACAGCGUACAUAGUGUACAUAAAUAAGUAAAUUACACCCAAUUAUAGUUCCUAGUUUCAUUAUUAUAUAGGUGCAUUUUAAUUUAUGUAUGCGUUCUGUGUUGUUACAUAUUUGUAUGUGUUGCACGUUGUAACAAUCACUAGUUUGAUUUAUUUAUAAGUAAACAUGGUGGAUUAAGUAUACAGCGUUAGACUUAUUAUUAUUUAGUCGUUACUAAUAAUUAAUUUAAUCUCGUCAUGCUUGUAAAUUUCAGCAACCGUUUAAAUAAAACAUCAAAUGAUGAAAUAGAAAAGUACAAGUAGGUAAAUUUUUAUACAUUUACCAUGUAUCAAAAGGAAAUACAAUAUUAAAUGGUUCAGGUUUGGCAAUGGUCUCUAAUUGUAUGCAAAUGAUUGCUUUGCUCAAACGCAAAAUUUAAAAAUAGGUUUUUUGUAGUUGAAAAUGUUAUGUUUAAUUUUAAUUCGAUCCAUUUAGUUUUGUUCACUUAGAUACAUUAAUUAUUUAUUAUUAGAUAUGGAAACUUUCUGCAUCAAAUAACAAAAAUACAUACCACAUUCCACUUGUAUCUGGAGGGUCUUAAAUGUGUAUUGAUUUUAUUACUACCCGCAGAAAAUGUACAUAUCAAUCAAUUUCAAUAAUCGAAAGAAGGCAUAUUUAUGUUAAGAAUUAAUUAUGUUACCCAAAAUGUAAAUAAUAUAUUUGUCAAAUGUUUUGGUAAGUCAUAUUCGAGUUAUUUUGUUUUAAACUUUAUUAUGAAAGUGUCCACAUGCUUUGUAGAUAAUAAUUGUAAUAAAUCAAUUAUGGUUGAACCGUUUUAAGGUAGUAAUCGAAUUCAUUGUGUACGCUCUUAAGGCUUAGGAGCUAAUAGAAAUGUUAUGAUUUCUGAAAUAAAUUUGUAUAAAACAA
rnacentral:misc_RNA from 1 species